rnacentral:rRNA from 1 species
AUUGAACGCUGGCGGCAUGCUUUACGCAUGCAAGUCGAACGGCAGCGCGGGCUUCGGCCUGGCGGCGAGUGGCGAACGGGUGAGUAAUACAUCGGAACGUGCCCAGUAGUGGGGGAUAGCUCGGCGAAAGCCGGGUUAAUACCGCAUACGACCUGAGGGUGAAAGCGGGGGAUCUUCGGACCUCGCGCUAUUGGAGCGGCCGAUGGCAGAUUAGCUAGUUGGUGGGGUAAAGGCCUACCAAGGCGACGAUCUGUAGCUGGUCUGAGAGGACGACCAGCCACACUGGGACUGAGACACGGCCCAGACUCCUACGGGAGGCAGCAGUGGGGAAUUUUGGACAAUGGGCGAAAGCCUGAUCCAGCAAUGCCGCGUGUGUGAUGAAGGCCUUCGGGUUGUAAAGCACUUUUGGCGGGAACGAAAGGGACUGUGCCAAUACCACGGUUCGAUGACGGUACCCGCAGAAUAAGCACCGGCUAACUACGUG